GUGAAAGAAAGAGACAAUCCUUCUCACUCUACCUAGCACUCUAGACACUUGGUUGAGUCCUGUUGCUUUUUGUGAAGCUAAAUUUAUUGUGUGAGGGAAACAUCCAAUUUGGGGGCCCAGACCAGCUUCUUUUACUGCAUUUACAAUGUUCCUUGCAUUGUCUGUUGUGUUGGGCAAAAUAACCUGCUGAGUACAUCACAUGUACAUCAUAAAUAUAGCUAACUCCUACCCUAGCCUGAUGAGCACAUCACAUGGCAGACACAUUACAAUAUAGUCAACUCUUGCUCUAACCCAACGAACACAAACAUGAUAAUAUAUAGUCAGGUCAAGGCCGGAGCCGAAGGCCCCAUUUCCCAGGCUGGCAGAUGGUGGACACUCAGACAAUGCACCAGUCAUCCUCAAGAACGGGAGAGCCACAUUAAUUUAUCACACAGGAGACACGAGGAGCUCUCCCCCGUUAGGAGGCAUAUACCAGGGCCUGAGAGCCACAUUAAUUUAUCACACAGGAGACAUUUCGAAGCUCUCCCCCGUUAGGAAGAACACAAGGGAUACACACCAGGGCCUGGGAGCCAAGGCCAAGCAAAAACACACAGAACCACACACACCUCAAACGCACACACCUCAUCGAGAGGAGGAUACAGCAUAAAACUGUAUCACACAGGGACUCUUCAUCUUCUUCUGAAGCAGACCUUCCACAGAGGCGAAGCUCUGGACGAACCAUCAGGGCUGAUUAGGGACUUAGACAUAUUCGAUUUCUCACGCUUUAUGACUCUGUAUAACCGUUGCCACUUUACUUAAUAAAUCCAAGGUCCUCGUGCCGACAGACUUUAUUACCUCUCCGUCUCAUUUUAUCUGGUCCAGUAACUAGACAGACCGUUUUUCCCCUCAGUUGUGACCGGUAUUGUUGUUCCUGGCCUCUCGAGCUUCCACUCCAACACAGUCCCCUUAAGUCCCUCUGCUAGAUUUGCGCUGGUGUGUUGUUCAUAAAUGGGCUGAGUUUGCAGAAAAUGGCUUGCUAAAGUCCAAUCAGGGGUGAU
rnacentral:lncRNA from 1 species